CCCGGGUCUUGUACACACCGCCCGUCACACCAUGGGAGCGGGUUUUACCAGAAGUGGGUAGCCUAACCGCAAGGAGGGCGCUCACCACGGUAGGAUUCGUGACAGGGGUG
rnacentral:rRNA from 1 species